rnacentral:rRNA from 1 species
CGCAGUGCGCUGCUAAUACAUGCAAGUCGAGCGGACAGAUGGGAGCUUGCUCCCUGAUGUUAGCGGCGGACGGGUGAGUAACACGUGGGUAACCUGCCUGUAAGACUGGGAUAACUCCGGGAAACCGGGGCUAAUACCGGAUGGUUGUUUGAACCGCAUGGUUCAAACAUAAAAGGUGGCUUCGGCUACCACUUACAGAUGGACCCGCGGCGCAUUAGCUAGUUGGUGAGGUAACGGCUCACCAAGGCAACGAUGCGUAGCCGACCUGAGAGGGUGAUCGGCCACACUGGGACUGAGACACGGCCCAGACUCCUACGGGAGGCAGCAGUAGGGAAUCUUCCGCAAUGGACGAAAGUCUGACGGAGCAACGCCGCGUGAGUGAUGAAGGUUUUCGGAUCGUAAAGCUCUGUUGUUAGGGAAGAACAAGUACCGUUCGAAUAGGGCGGUACCUUGACGGUACCUAACCAGAAAGCCACGGCUAACUACGUGCCAGCAGCCGCGGUAAUACGUAGGUGGCAAGCGUUGUCCGGAAUUAUUGGGCGUAAAGGGCUCGCAGGCGGUUUCUUAAGUCUGAUGUGAAAGCCCCCGGCUCAACCGGGGAGGGUCAUUGGAAACUGGGGAACUUGAGUGCAGAAGAGGAGAGUGGAAUUCCACGUGUAGCGGUGAAAUGCGUAGAGAUGUGGAGGAACACCAGUGGCGAAGGCGACUCUCUGGUCUGUAACUGACGCUGAGGAGCGAAAGCGUGGGGAGCGAACAGGAUUAGAUACCUGGGUAGUCCAA